GGCAACCCGCUCGGGUUCCUUUCCUCAUGGUGGAAGGUUUGUUUUUUGCUCUUUGCAAUAAAUCUUGCUACUGCUAACUCUUUGGGUCCACACUGCUUUUAUGAGCUGUAACACUCACCGGGAAGAUCUGCAGCUUCGCUCCUGAGUCAGCGAGACCACGAACCCACCAGAAGGAAGAAACUCUGAACACAUCCGAACAUCAGAAGGAACAAACUCCAGACGCACCACCUUAAGAGCUGUAACACUCACCGCGAGGGUCCACAGCUUUAUUCUUGAAGUCAGUGAGACCAAGAAUCCACCAAUUCCGGACACAAUUGUAAGAACUUUCUCCUUUCUUUGAACUGUAUAUAAAGACUUUUUAAAACUAGAUAGAUAGGUCUUUGCCAACUUUAAGACCCAGCAUUGUCUUUUCUCAAGAACUUAGGAGCCAUCUCUUUGAAAUAUAAACAACAAAGGAGGUAACAAAAUGUAUCUUCCCCCUUCUGUAGCAGAGUAAGAGCCUAACUUGCUCCAAAUUGCAAAACUACCUCUUGUCAUAAAAGAUAUAAGAAGUUUGUUUUUUACCGUGGAUAAGCCAAUUAGUCAAUUAUGGUGACAUGGAUGGUAAUCACAAUUACCAGAAUGAUGAGAUGAGUGCCACAUGGAUCUGUGCAUGCAGAAAGAUUGUUGCACCGAAGAAGAGGAACUCCAAAUUAAAAAUUUAGGAGUUAUACAGGGACUGCAGCUUCCUUUCUCUUCUCCUGAAAAAAGAAGAGAAACCAUAUUUCCCUAAGACAGAAGGAAGAUAAGAGUAUCACAAGGAUAACCUCUGUGAGUAGAGCAUGGCUUAUCUUCUUGGCCUAUUGAAGAUUUCAUCAAAGGUAUUUAGAUCCUAAAUCAUUGGUGAGACGAAGUCUUGCUAUGUUGCCCGGACUGGUAUUGAAUUCUUGAGGUCAAGUGAUCAUCCCACGUUGUUCUCCCAAAGUGCUGGGAUUACAGGCAUUAGCCACCAUGCCAGGUCUGGAAUAUUGUUACAUUUGUCCUAUUUUAUUAUUAGUUAUUAUUUUACUGUGUGUAAUUUAUAAAUUAAACUUUGUUAUAGUUAUGUAUGUGUAGGAAAAAAUGUACAUAUGGUGUUCUGUACAGUCCUCAGUUUUAGGCAUUCACUGGAGGUCUUGGAACAUAUUCCCCAUGGAUAAUAGGGGGCUAAUGUAUUUAUUUUUUUUCUAGCACUUUAAAAAUGUUAUUCUACUCUCA
rnacentral:lncRNA from 1 species